UACGGAGGAUCCGAGCGUUAUCCGGAAUCAUUGGGUUUAAAGGGUCCGUAGGCGGGUUAGUAAGUCAGUGGUGAAAUCUGGCAGCUUAACUGUCGAAUUGCCGUUGAUACUGCUAAUCUUGAAUUACUGUGAAGUGGUUAGAAUAUGUAGUGUAGCGGUGAAAUGCUUAGAUAUUACAUGGAAUACCAAUUGCGAAGGCAGAUCACUAACAGUAUAUUGACGCUGAUGGACGAAAGCGUGGGGAGCAAACAGGAUUAGAUA
rnacentral:rRNA from 1 species